rnacentral:rRNA from 1 species
AUACGGAGGGUGCAAGCGUUAUCCGGAAUCAUUGGGUUUAAAGGGUCCGCAGGCGGAUUAAUAAGUCAGUGGUGAAAUCCUCUCGCUCAACGAGAAAACUGCCAUUGAAACUGUUAGUCUUGAAUUCGGUCGAAGUAGGCGGAAUGUGUCAUGUAGCGGUGAAAUGCAUAGAUAUGACACAGAACACCGAUAGCGAAGGCAGCUUACUAGACCUGGAUUGACGCUCAUGGACGAAAGCGUGGGAAGCGAACAGGAUUAGAAACCCCAGUAGUCC